rnacentral:rRNA from 1 species
UACCAGCACCCCGAGUGGUCGGGACGUUUAUUGGGCCUAAAGCAUCCGUAGCCGGUUCUACAAGUCUUCCAUUAAAUCCAACUGCUCAACAGGUGGGCUGCGGAAGAUACUAUAGAGCUAGGAGGCGGGAGAGGCAAGCGGUACUCGAUGGGUAGGGGUAAAAUCCGUUGAUCCAUCGAAGACCACCAGUGGCGAAGGCGGCUUGCCAGAACGCGCUCGACGGUGAGGGAUGAAAGCUGGGGGAGCAAACCGG